rnacentral:rRNA from 1 species
UACGUAGGGGGCGAGCGUUGUCCGGAUUUAUUGGGCGUAAAGAGCUCGUAGGCGGUUCCGUAAGUCGAGUGUGAAAAAUCUGGGCUCAACCCAGUCGAGCACUCGAUACUGCGGUGACUAGAGUUCGGUAGAGGAGUGUGGAAUUCCUGGUGUAGCGGUGAAAUGCGCAGAUAUCAGGAGGAACACCAACGGCGAAGGCAGCACUCUGGGCCGAUACUGACGCUGAGGAGCGAAAGCGUGGGGAG